GACCUCCCAAAGUGUUGGGAUUACAGGUGUGAGCCACCACACCUGGCUCACAGCAUCAUUUUUCAAGGGUCUCUAGGGUGACCACGUGUCCUGGUUUGCCAAGGACAGUCCCAGUUUCCACCUGCUGUCCUGGUACAAUCAUGAAUAUUGUCCCUUUCAGUUUCAGAAGUGUCAUAGUUUAUACAGUAAAUUACCUGACCACCCUAAUAUGCCCCAUGUUUCUUGAAUCUAGGCUGCUGAUAAAAUUCACAUUUUCUGUCUCUCAGUCUAGUGUUCUUUACACUAAGCGUCCACAAAGGAAGCAAUAUUGGCCAACAAUUAAUCUUGGGUCUUUGGAUUAGGACGUUAAGAGUCCUACCUUCAGAGCAUUUUCCUUCUGGAGUGGACUUUGCACAAAUGGUAGGGUGAUUUGUGGAGUCAGUGAAGAACCAGGCUAACCCAGCUUGUUUUACUGGCCCAAAUUUUUCUUCCCAGAGCCAUAAACCAGUUAUUACCAGGAAACAAAGGCGAACAAGCAAGUAUUUCGUUUUAAAUUGUUAUUAAGGAGAAACAUCUAGAAUCAAAUCUCACCACAUAAACCCAAAUCACCCCCAAAGUUAAGGGGAUCUAAAAUAAUACAAUGGAUGCUGUUUUUAUAAAGAUUAUGGGAAAGCCUUAACAGGUAAGUUGCUGUACCUUCACACGAAGAAAACAGCAGGUUAUUAUGCUUUUGUUAAAACAAGUGACCAACUACUACAUCAUCUCUAAAUCAUUCCAGAAUUAAGAUAAGUCCUAAAAAAAAAAUGUGACUCUGAUGAGUGCAUUUUAGAUUUGCUUGAAUGAGGGAGCAGUUAUUACUUGCUGCUAAAAUGCUCUGGAAACAUUUGGUGCAUACUCCAAAAGAAUGCAAAUAGGCCUAAGGAGGGAAUGAUGCAUAAUAUGAACACUGGCAAAGGGCCUUACAAGAAUGUACGCUGUGGAGAAUGUGACCAGUGCUUUACAAACCAUCAGUUCAUAAAGUUGGGUACAUGUGAUGGAAAGAAAAAGACUUGCCUUGACCAACAGCAUCAGUCCAGCUGCACUAAACUCGAUGUGAAAAAAAUCCAGAAGUUUAAGAGUGCUUUGAAGCCCUUCAACAAUCAAAAUGAGAGAAUGUUAAUGAGAUCCUUUUUUCUGUCCAGUACAUUUAAUUCAGGAGACCUAUUAACCCUAUGUUCUUGAAUAGUGAUUGCGAAUCAACCACUGAGUCUUCAGUGUACUUGUAUGUCCUAUAACCUGAAUUUUUGAGUCAGAUACUUUUAACAUUCAUUUUAGAUGGAUGAUACAAGCAUACCUACAGGAAACUAUAUCUUAAUUCAAGUUCUGCUCAGUACUAGUGGCCCAGAAGAUAAACUUAACGGGUGUUCCAAAAUGAAACACAAAAAUAAAAGCUAAUUCUAGGAUGGAACAACUUGGGAAACAUGUUCAUAUGUUUCCUGUAGCAGUAAAACAGGACUCUUCACUGCAGCAUUGUGUGAAGCAUGCAAUAUAUAUAUAUAUAAAUAAAGGGGAUUUUAAAGAGGAUGAGAGGGUUUAAGAGAGGAUGUGGCCUAAUUUUCAGGUUUCUUCAUGCUCGUUUGAUCACUGAUUCCUCACACUCCCCCACCACAUAAGUCCUGGCUUUUUUGCUAACCAUCUAUUCUUAUAUGCAGAGACACUUCCAUUCCGUAGAAUACAGUUUAAUACAGAAAAUGCUGGCCAAAAGGACUUACAAAAGGCACAGAUAGCAGAUUUGAAGUGCUCUGGCAAGCAACUUUGUGUCUCUAAUAUAUUCCCAAACCGGAAGAAGCUUUGCAAUUACUGCCAAAAUGUCUCAGAGGGCAUUAGGUUAAUCAAAGCUGGAGAGGACUGGAAAAAGAGGCAGCUGCUAGACACUGAGAAGCACUCCAUUUGCUAUGAGAUACUUGCCUCAUUUGUAACUGCAGGAUUUUAGUUUAUGGAGGUGACUGAAUGAUGACGCAGAGAGGUCAACACUAGUGAAAGAAGAGGUUUCUUACUUACAUUUCCUGAGAGGAGGGGACAUGCCACAACACACAGGGUCACAGUGGAAGCACCAGGAUGGUCAAGAGACCAGAAGAUCCGUGCUGGCACGCCGUUCUGACACAGGCUGUGAGAGAGUCGACAUUCUCAGAGCAAAUGCCACACGUGGAAGAUGGAGGAGCGUCGUGUGAAGGAAAAAUCUUCAAAGAGAGAUGAAAGGAACUUUACUUCUACCUUCCAUUCAUUGCUAGGGUCCUCUUAUCUUUCAUAAGAAACUACAUCACCUUUUGAUUAAAAUCUCCAGAGAUGUGAACUCACCUCCGCCAAAUAGAAGUCCCGUAUGUGGAUAGCUUUCUGGUUUAACACAUUUCCCUGUGUUUCACUAUUUUGCUUUCCUAAGAGCUUGGUGUUGCCCCACUGAGCAAGGCUGACUCUUUCUUGUGAAGGCCCUUCAAAUAUGGGGGGUUAGUUAUACUGUCUAUCCUGUGAGAUAUUUCCAAGCUGAAUCACACCUUUCCCCAGGAUUGUGGCCCCAUGUGCGAUUCGGAUCUUCAGACCACCAGUGUCCCCUGCAAUCAGGCUUGCAUAUUGAUGCUAGAUUUACUGAAAAACAGCUUUACCUUUGCCAAUCAUUUGUUGAAAAAUCAACAAAGUGUUCCUGUUAUAGAAAAACACAUUUCCUGCUAAGACAUUUUUUUUCCGCUCCAACGGCUCUUUGAUUGGCUUAUAACCUGGGUCUCUAUUUCUCAAUAAAGCCAUCUCCUCCUCUGAUUAGGCAACCUUCACAGUGGUACCUCCAUUUACUUUGCUCAUCUCAGCUUCUCACCAUAUGCAUCCUGGGGUUCCUCAUAUGGCAAGCUUUAUGUUGCUUUCUCCAAAAUCAUAAUUUUUUGGUAAGCUUAAAUAUCACCUUUUUCAUAAAGCCUAUCCUGAACAACAUUAACCUCAAUUAUAUGACAUGUGUCUUGAAUGUGUCUCAUAAGUGAAUGUCUUAGGUCAGCUUCCUCAGGAAACAAACUAUGAAACAGAGAUUUGCAUGCAGGAUGGUUAUGGGGAGUAGUCUCAAAUGCAAACCUGAGAGGAAGUAAAGGAAGGAUUGGAUACAGGGUAAAUUUGAAUUGUGAUGUUGUUGCAACAGAAGCUUCAGCAAAGUCAUGGAGCACCCGGAGCUGGGAUUGCCUAUUUAGGUGGGGAGGCCAGACCUUCUAUUGCUGUAUGGACCCAUCACUGGAUGUGGGCUGCCUUGUGUGAGAAGCAAAAUCUUGAGCCAGAAGCUUUCUUUUGCAGAGAACAAUUUCUGGGAAGGAACUAGCUGUAAGUUCUCAGCAAGCAAUACACCCAGCAGCUGGGAAGAUAAAGAUGAGUGUCUCAGCUUUGAGGUGGAGUCUGGGUGGCAAUCCUUAACAUGAACAACAUGCAGUUAAGAACAACCCAGCUUGUGCUUAUCUGGAUGUACAAGAACUUCAGGAGCAAACUUUCCCAGUGCCAUUGACUGGGCUUAUUUGGUCUGAUGACUGGAGUCCUGCUGUUAGCUAGGAUGAGGGAAGUGCAUUAUUACAGUGUCUUUUCUGCUAUUUUGAUACACUUGGCAACAAUGUGGGACCCUUAUUUAAAAGUGCAAGUGUCCUUAUAAAAGAGACCCCAGAAAGAUUCCUAACCCCCCUUACCAUGUGAAGACACAGAAAAAGGCAGCCAUCUGUGAUCCAGAAAGCAGACCCUCACCAGAUACCAAAUCUGCCAAUACUUUGACUUUACACUUCCAGCCUCUAGGACAACAAGCAACUAAUUUCUGCCUGUUUAGGAGCCACCCAGUCUAUGGCAUUUUGUUAUAGCAGCUUGACCAGACUAAAACAAUGACUCGUAUAUAAGGAAAAUCAACGUUUAGCAAGUCAUUUUUAUGGCAAUGACCCCUCACUCAAGGAUAUUCAGCAGAUAAUUGCAGAAGGAUAUAGGAACUCACCUCUGUCUGCAACAGUUCUGAAAAAAAAUCUCUUAAACAUCGCAAUUCAAGAUGAUGAGUUUUCUUAUUGAAGAUGGCCAUUCCUUUCUAGAGGACCAAGAACUUCGCUUUAUUGCUGGCAGCAUGAACUGCUCAUGGUAGCAUGAAAAAAACAGAGUCCUGAGUACGAAGUAGAAAAAAGGAAAGAAGUCAUGGCUCAGUUGUUUGAGCGAUUAUCUAUUGACUUGCUAUUAGAGAAGAUGAAGAUUUAGCUCAUGUUCACUCCUCUGUCUGGAAUACAAUCCUAAACUUUCCUCCAGUGCUGCUCUGGAGGCAGAGUAUCCUGGCAGAAGGCAAGUUGCGACCAUAAUCCAGAAGGCUUGGAAAUGUGGUCUUUAUUUUAAUGCAGUUCAGUGGUAGUGAAAGAUGAAAUCUGUGAAUUCUU